UUUUUUGAAGUGCAUUUAACACAAUCCAGCCGCUACUACUGGAGACAAGAUAAAACAUGUCUCUUGUCAGAGUGGGGACAUUGUUUAAAACCCACUGUGGACUGGCUGGACAUAGGACAAAUUAGUUAAUAGCAGGCACCUGUUAAGGCAUGGUGGCCUAUCAGCUGUGGGAAAGACCUGUUUUAAAAAAGGCUGACUGAGCACCAAAGGAGGAGAGGAGGUCCAGAUAUGAAGAGAAGGAGCAGGCAGAAACCAGGCGUGGGAGAGAAGGACAUGCUGCCUGAUGGCCAGAUCUGGCUCCAUAACAUUCGACUUGUUGAUGCUAUCCACUGCUCCCUUCUGGCUCUACCGCCAAGUUUUUGUGGUGUUUUUUUUUUGUUUGUUUGUUUUGUUUUUUUAAAUGCACAUCUUCUCUGAGGAUGAUUUUGUCAUCAUUUUCUUUGAAAGUGAAGAUGGGCUUUCCAUUCACAGACCUCUCACUGCAUUGCCAGUGCAAAGUGCCAAAACUUUGCACCAGUGUCGGCACCAUCAACCUUCUCAACUAAUCCGAUGGAUUGUAGGAUUUGGUUUUGUCUGCAAACUUCACAAUGACAAUCACAAUUACUAUCAGAUUUACAUAAGUUGAAGCUCUACCCUCUAAGUACCCAAUUUUGUUUCUCUGUGAACUAUCUGCAUUUUGAUAACUGAUAAUAAACAUUUCCUGGGGAAAUAAUUAUUAAUGUUCACUAUUACUUUUUCUUAAAUGCACACUUAACGCAACCCAACCCAACCAUGCCCCCUGGCAUUAAUCACCCCAACCCCACCAUUUUGGGAAAAAAUGCAUCAUCCAGCAGUUUUGAACUAACAUCAUGCUAAGCGUGUAAACUCAUAGUGUAGCUUACCAAAGCAACUGAAACAUCUGUGAAAUGUUUUCAA